UGCCUCAGUAACGGCGAGUGAAGCGGCAAAAGCUCAAAUUUGAAACCCUCGGGAUUGUAAUUUGAAGAUUUGGCAUUGGAGAAAGCUAACCCAAGUUACUUGGAAUAGUACGUCAUAGAGGGUGACAACCCCGUCUGGCUAACCGUUCUCCAUGUAUUGCCUUAUCAAAGAGUCGAGUUGUUUGGGAAUGCAGCUCAAAGUGGGUGGUAAACUCCAUCUAAAGCUAAAUACUGGUGAGAGACCGAUAGCGAACAAGUACUGUGAAGGAAAGGUGAAAAGAACUUUGAAAAGAGAGUGAAAUAGUAUGUGAAAUUGUUGAUAGGGAAGGAAAUGAGCGGAGAGUGGUUGAGGUUUCAGCCUUCCUUUGGGGUGGUGUAUUGCCGACGCCGAGUCAUUGUCCGCGAGACGGGRRWUAYAAACGGGUUGCAUUCAUGCUUCUCACCUAUUYCCCCCACUGCAGUCAACGACAUAAUCCGCCCAUUUCACCCGUCUUGAAACACGGACCAAGGAGUCUAAUGGAUAUGUGAGUGUUAGGGUGCCAAACCCCAGCGCGCAAUGAAAGUGAAUGAUUCGUUCAGAAUCGACCGAACUUGAUUUUUAUGACAGUUUUGAGUAAACACAUCCAUUGGGACCCGAAAGAUGGUGAACUAUGCCUGAAUAGGGUGAAGUCAGAGGAAACUCUGAUGGAGGCUCGUAGCGGUUCUGACGUGCAAAUCGAUCGUAGAAUUUGGGUAUAGGGCGAAA
rnacentral:rRNA from 1 species